CAAGGAAUUUUGCGCAAUGGGCGAAACCUGACGCAGCGACGUCGCGUGGGGGAUGAAGGCCUUCGGGUUGUAAACCCUUUUCUCAGGGAAGAGUAAUGACGGUACCUGAGGAAUAAGUCUCGGCUAACUACGUGCCAGCAGCCGCGGUAAUACGUAGGAGGCGAGCGUUAUCCGGAUUCACUGGGCGUAAAGCGGACGCAGGCGGCUUUUCAAGUCGGAUGUAAAAUCUCCCGGCUCAACUGGGAGGGACCGUCCGAUACUGUUAGGCUAGAGUGCAGCAGAGGAAAGUGGAAUUCCCGGUGUAGUGGUGAAAUACGUAGAUAUCGGGAGGAACACCAGUGGCGAAAGCGGCUUUCUGGGCUGUUACUGACGCUGAGGUCCGAAAGCGUGGGGAGCAAACAGGAUUAGAUACCCUGGUAGUCCACGCCCUAAACAUUGGACACUAGGUAUGGGGAGUAUCGACCCUCUCCGUGCCGCAGCUAACGCUUUAAGUGUCCCGCCUGGGGACUACGGCCGCAAGGUAAAACUCAAAGGAAU
rnacentral:rRNA from 1 species